rnacentral:rRNA from 1 species
GACGAACGCUGGCGGCGUGCCUAAUACAUGCAAGUAGAACGCUGAAGGAGGAGCUUGCUUCUCUGGGUGAGUUGCGAACGGGUGAGUAACGCGUAGGUAACCUGCCUGGUAGCGGGGGAUAACUAUUGGAAACGAUAGCUAAUACCGCAUAAGGGUAGAUGUUGCAUGACAUUUGCUUAAAAGGUGCAAUUGCAUCACUACCAGAUGGACCUGCGUUGUAUUAGCUAGUUGGUGGGGUAACGGCUUACCAAGGCGACGAUACAUAGCCGACCUGAGAGGGUGAUCGGCCACACUGGGACUGAGAAACGGCCCAGACUCCUACGGGAGGCAGCAGUAGGGAAUCUUCGGCAAUGGACGGAAGUCUGACCGAGCAACGCCGCGUGAGUGAAGAAGGUUUUCGGAUCGUAAAGCUCUGUUGUAAGAGAAGAACGAGUGUGAGAGUGGAAAGUUCACACUGUGACGGUAUCUUACCAGAAAGGGACGGCUAACUACGUG